UACAGAGGUCCCGAGCGUUGUUCGGAUUCACUGGGCGUAAAGAGCUCGUAGGCGGCUUGUCGCGUCGACUGUGAAAACCCGCGGCUCAACUGUGGGCUUGCAGUCGAUACGGGCAGGCUGGAGUUCGGUAGGGGAGACUGGAAUUCCUGGUGUAGCGGUGAAAUGCGCAGAUAUCGGGAGGAACACCAAUUGCGAAGGCAGCUCGCUGGGACGUCACUGACGCUGAGACGCGAAAGCGUGGGGAGCAAACAGG
rnacentral:rRNA from 1 species